UAUUACAAUGAAGAGUUUGAUCCUGGCUCAGGAUGAACGCUAGCUACAGGCUUAACACAUGCAAGUCGAGGGGCAGCAUGGUCUUAGCUUGCUAAGGCCGAUGGCGACCGGCGCACGGGUGAGUAACACGUAUCCAACCUGCCGUCUACUCUUGGACAGCCUUCUGAAAGGAAGAUUAAUACAAGAUGGCAUCAUGAGUCCGCAUGUUCACAUGAUUAAAGGUAUUCCGGUAGACGAUGGGGAUGCGUUCCAUUAGAUAGUAGGCGGGGUAACGGCCCACCUAGUCUUCGAUGGAUAGGGGUUCUGAGAGGAAGGUCCCCCACAUUGGAACUGAGACACGGUCCAAACUCCUACGGGAGGCAGCAGUGAGGAAUAUUGGUCAAUGGGCGAGAGCCUGAACCAGCCAAGUAGCGUGAAGGAUGACUGCCCUAUGGGUUGUAAACUUCUUUUAUAAAGGAAUAAAGUCGUAUGCAUACCCGUUUGCAUGUACUUUAUGAAUAAGGAUCGGCUAACUCCGUGCCAGCAGCCGCGGUAAUACGGAGGAUCCGAGCGUUAUCCGGAUUUAUUGGGUUUAAAGGGAGCGUAGAUGGAUGUUUAAGUCAGUUGUGAAAGUUUGCGGCUCAACCGUAAAAUUGCAGUUGAUACUGGAUAUCUUGAGUGCAGUUGAGGCAGGCGGAAUUCGUGGUGUAGCGGUGAAAUGCUUAGAUAUCACGAAGAACUCCGAUUGCGAAGGCAGCCUGCUAAGCUGCAACUGACAUUGAGGCUCGAAAGUGUGGGUAUCAAACAGGAUUAGAUACCCUGGUAGUCCACACGGUAAACGAUGAAUACUCGCUGUUUGCGAUAUACAGCAAGCGGCCAAGCGAAAGCGUUAAGUAUUCCACCUGGGGAGUACGCCGGCAACGGUGA
rnacentral:rRNA from 1 species